UAUCUUUUAUCGCUGAUUGUUUUUCAUUCCAGUCCCCUCCAUAUAUUCCGUCACACAGACAAAGAGCUUUGGAAUACACUUUAGACAGGUUUCAAAGUGACAACCACGGCUCCGUUCCAUUUUUUCUCUUUGGUGAUUUCAAUUUUAGAACAAAUACUCAAGCUGUAAUUGAAAGGUUAGUUGAUGGUUUAAAUCCUGUACAAGUUCAAAGUCCUAAUAGUAAUAGCGUUCAAAAGUUGCUGUACAGAAAGGAUGGAGAAGAGGUUUGUUAUUUUGAUUUUCUUGUAGUUUAAUCACUCUGUGGUGUUGUAACCCUUCAAUUGUAAAUUCAAAUGAGAAGGUUAGAUAGUGAAGAUCAGUGG
rnacentral:lncRNA from 1 species